UGAUUCUUCGGAUGAAGUCUCUUGUGACUGAGUGGCGGACGGGUGAGUAACGCGUGGGUAACCUGCCUCACACAGGGGGAUAACAGUUGGAAACGACCGCUAAUACCGCAUAACCCGCUGGUGCCGCAUGGCACUGACGGAAAAGAUUUAUCGGUGUGAGAUGGACCCGCGUCUGAUUAGCCAGUUGGCAGGGUAACGGCCUACCAAAGCGACGAUCAGUAGCCGGCCUGAGAGGGUGAACGGCCACAUUGGGACUGAGACACGGCCCAGACUCCUGCGGGAGGCAGCAGUGGGGAAUAUUGCACAAUGGGGGAAACCCUGAUGCAGCGACGCCGCGUGAGUGAAGAAGUAUUUCGGUAUGUAAAGCUCUAUCAGCAGGGAAGAAAAUGACGGUACCUGAUUAAGAAGCCCCGGCUAACUACGUGCCAGCAGCCGCGGUAAUACGUAGGGGGCAAGCGUUAUCCGGAUUUACUGGGUGUAAAGGGAGCGUAGACGGUGAUGCAAGUCAGAAGUGAAAGCCCGGGGCUCAACUCCGGGACUGCUUUUGAAACUGUGUGACUGGAGUGCAGGAGAGGUAAGCGGAAUUCCUGGUGUAGCGGUGAAAUGCGUAGAUAUCAGGAGGAACACCAGUGGCGAAGGCGGCUUACUGGACUGUAACUGACGUUGAGGCUCGAAAGCGUGGGGAGCAAACAGGAUUAGAUACCCUGGUAGUCCACGCCGUANACGAUGAAUAUUAGGUGUCGGUGAGCAAAGCUCAUCGNUGCCGCAGCAAACGCAUUAAAUAUUCCACCUGGGGAGUACGUUCGCAAGAAUGAAAC
rnacentral:rRNA from 1 species